CGGACCGUUUACCCAGGGUACACCAGGAAAGAGAGAGGGGAAAAUGGCGCUGUUGAGGCGGCACUGAGAUCUGAGGGAAGCAAGCCGGUUUGUUGAAUCUGAAAUAGCGGGCAAAAUGCCUCGCUGCCAAAUUCCUGGAUGACCAACUAUCGCAGCAAAAGGAGUCCAUCGUCCUUCGGAAUUAAUUUGACUGAGUUUAUGACAGUUCUUAUGGACUCACAAAGGAGUUUAAUCAGCGAUGAACCCACACAUUUAAGAGACAAGAUUUAAUUAAAAAACGAAGGGUAGCUUCUACAGUCUCCUGAUUUCAAGAGGAACAUUAAAAGGAGGAAAGCGGAGAGUGACUGUCAAGCUCUCCAGGAGGGGAUGAGAGCUGUACCUGACAAACUGUCCUAUGACAUCACGACGUGAAAAAAAAAAAAAAAAUGCACUCAAUGACUUGUACAAAGUGGUGAAGAAUUUUGAAGCCAGAGUCGGAUUCACAGAAGACCUUGAAAAUCUCAGGUAAUUCUUGAAACAAGACUAAUGGUUUAAGACACCGCUUGCUCUGAGGAAGAAGAUUUCAACGGGACAUCUGCACAAAUUUCUACUGGGAGGAGGGUCAGACCCUGACAUCACCUAGCAACCCUGGCCACGCAGCAGCAUCGAUGGGGCCGUUACAUUCGGAGGAAGAGGAGGAGGAGGAUGAUGAUGGCAGCUGCUUGCCAGCCAUCUACCCCUUCACACAGCACACCUUCAAAGGGUGUCUGUGGGCGUGGCGAAUGGAGAGCGGAAGGUACAUGCCAAAAUGAGAGGACGGCGUGUACGGCAUCACAUAAAACAGGAGACCGGACCCAACUCUGAGGUGCACCCGGUGUUCGGACACGCCAUGACGAUGAGGAGGGCAGGGGUCAUCCGGAAGAGCCAACCUCGUCCAUCCGAAAUGAAACCGCGCCCAUUGGAUGUUAGGAAGCUUCCGGAACGGUGGUCGAACACGACUCUUGGCUUGCCCGUUUCACCUGAACACUGCUCCUCCCACGCUACCCACAAUCCCACUGAGGACGCUGGCGGAGGUGGGCCCGUGAGGCACCCGAGGAUGCCACCCAGAUUGAAAGCCGUCAGGCUGCAGCCGUAAUAGUUCUGUACACCAGCUCAUUUCAGCUUUUAUUUUAUAACGAGCCUCUUUAAGCAGAGCAGGACACAUUCAUCCCCUUCUCACUCACACUUUUCAAUACCCGGUUCCUCUUGCUUUGUCUGCUUCUCUGUACUUCAGCUGUUUGCCAUUCUCUUGAACUGACAGAUUUCUUGGUAGAAAUGAGGUGUGCAAGUUCUGCCUCUCUCCAUUAUGCACCUGAAUUUGAGGCUGUGAUAUGUCUGUUCGCUUCUGAUGGAACCACAAGCUUUCGACCUGCUGUUCCAGGAUGAGCCUCCUCCCUCCUUAUCUGGACUUUCAACACACCAAGAGCCUUUAGCAGCAAGUCAGUGGCCAUAGUUUAUUUAGAGAUUCUUAGGAUUGCCUUUCAUAUUUUUUGUUCCAGUUUGAUUGUCAGUACAGUAAGCAUAAGAGACUUUGGCAUUUGCCUCCUGUCCCAAUUCCUUGCCUGCAUCUUUCAUUUGCAUGUGCUUCCACGAUGGCUGGCAGUUUUUAGAUGGGUGUACCGUAGUUUAAGAAGAUCAGCGCUGUAAACCUGAAAGGGAUCAAAAUAAAUGAACUUUUUUGCGGA